rnacentral:rRNA from 1 species
GAUGAACGCUGGCGGCGUGCCUAAUACAUGCAAGUCGAGCGAACAGAUGAGGAGCUUGCUCCUCUGACGUUAGCGGCGGACGGGUGAGUAACACGUGGAUAACCUACCUAUAAGACUGGGAUAACUUCGGGAAACCGGAGCUAAUACCGGAUAAUAUAUUGAACCGCAUGGUUCAAUAGUGAAAGACGGUUUUGCUGUCACUUAUAGAUGGAUCCGCGCCGCAUUAGCUAGUUGGUAAGGUAACGGCUUACCAAGGCAACGAUGCGUAGCCGACCUGAGCGGGUGAUCGGCCACACGGGAACUGAGACAGGGUCCAGACUCCUACGGGAGGCAGCAGUAGGGAAUCUUCCGCAAUGGGCGAAAGCCUGACGGAGCAACGCCGCGUGAGUGAUGAAGGUCUUCGGAUCGUAAAACUCUGUUAUUAGGGAAGAACAAAUGUGUAAGUAACUAUGCACGUCUUGACGGUACCUAAUCAGAAAGCCACGGCUAACUACGUG